GAUACCCCACGAUCAACCCAACCCUAUCUAGCCUACAGUCUAUAUACCGCCGUCGCCAGCCUACCUUAUGAAAGAAACAAAGUGAGCUAAAUAGUCAUACACUAACACGACAGGUCGAGGUGUAACUUAUGAUAGGGCCUAAGAUGGGCUACAUUUUCUAACACAGAAAACACGAAUUAAACUAUGAAAUAAGGAACUGAAGGCGGAUUUAGCAGUAUACUAAGAACAAGACACCUAGUCGAAACAAACGCAAUGAGGUGCGUACACACCGCCCGUCAUCCCUGCCAACCAAACAAACCAUAAAUAAAAACACAUUAAAUCCUAAAACAGGGCAAGUCGUAACAAGGUAAGCG
rnacentral:rRNA from 1 species